rnacentral:sRNA from 1 species
CGUGCGCACGCGCCGAAUCCCGCGAGGGAACCGGGGAACCACCACCUUGGGGUGAAUCGCGCGAAUGCCGCAGUUGGUAUACGCGCGUAGGAGACCUUCCUGCUCCGAACCCGUCAGCUAACCCGGUAGGCGGAGGAAGGAAAGGAGUA